UUCUUGUGUUAUGUGGUGCUUGGUGUAUGUUGUUUGCAUAUUGUUACUUAUUUCACCCUUUUUGUUAAUGACAAAGGGGGAAAAGAGAUUGUUAUUAUGUUAUUUCUUUGUUUUCUGUUUCUCUCUAACAAAAUGCAGAUUUCGAAAGACUCCUUAAAUCAUAAAUUAAGGGGGAGCAUCAAUUAAGGGGGAACAUUUGCUAGAGAAACAUGCUUGGAUUGAAC
rnacentral:lncRNA from 1 species